CUAGGACAAGGGGAGGGGGAGAGAAGCAAGGUAGAGUGCUUCUCAAAAAAACCCAAACUGUUUAAUAGAAUUCUAAAAAAGAUAACGACAGAUCUUUUCCAGAUUUCUGUAAGCAAUGAAUGAUCAGUCUUCUUUGUAGAAACUUAAAUACUGGUCUGUAAGACAUACAUAUUAUAAUUAUAAGUUAAGAGCUAUUUCAACACAAAGGUGUCAUAUCAUUUGAAUCAAAUAGAUCUAAACCAAUAUCCUUCACUCAUUUAUAGCAUUCCAAUUUUACAGAUAUUAAUCAGUCAUAGCAUUGUUUUAUGAGUAAAAAAUGACAUUUUUAGUGUUGAUAUUAUGGAUCAGGCACAUUUUUUCAGUUGGAUAAGAAAAUCGUCCACUGCUUGUGCAAAAGGUUUGGAGAAGUAUAUUUUUGUUCUGCAUUUUAGGCCUAAAUCUAGCUGCCACAGUAAACUAAAGGAAACUUAUUGAAUUGAGAAAAUUUAUAUACAUAUUGCCUUAUAAUUUAUCAGUUGAUUUAAUACAUUUACUCUAGAUGGGGCUUGACCUGGAUCUUACUCCUAGAAAUGCCCUUCUAACAAACUUUUGGAUUAUGGAUAUUCUGUGAUGCCUUUACAGAUUAUAACUGCUUUUAAGAUUGUAACACAUAUAUAGCACUGCAACAAUAUUACAAAAAUCAGGAUCAAAAUAGUGUACAACAUGAGAUUCUGGAGAUCAGCUUGUUAUAGCAUUAUCAUGUAAGUAUAAAUAAACUAAACUGUCAUCAUAAGUCUGAUGGCCCUCGAGCUCUUUUGUAGGACAGUUUAAUAAACUGGCAAUCUGAACAAAACUUGUAUUUUAAAACAAAGCAUUAAAGAGGAACAUAACAUUAAUUUCUGCAUUUGUAAUAAAAUGGAAAGAUGUGCUACUUUGGAAUGAUAGUAAUAAUGUAGCCUUAUGCAAAUUAUAUUCAGGGAGGUGUCUGUGAUUAUGCCUGAAACUAUAAACCAUCUUAAUUGGUUGAUUUAUCUGUCUACAAAGAGUGUUAUUCCUUAGCCUAUGAAACAACUGCCUUUCCAUUACAGGAACACAAACUAUUGCCAUAUUUGUUUUAAUUUAAAUAUGCAAUUACUCUACCAUAACUAUUAAGAAGUAUAAUCCAGAAUAAAACCAUAUAUUGAUUUAGUACAAAUCCAUGUUAAAGAUGUAUAUUAGUCAAAUGUGAAUGAUUUUCACUUGAAAGCUACCCACAGUUCUUUGCAAAGAACAAAAAGAAAUCAAAGUUCAAAACAGUACAUUGGGAUCUAUAUUUGCUACUUUAUUAGGAAAUAUUUUUCUACUUGGCACAUAUUGCCUGUAAAACAACCAUCAUUUUCACACCAAUAAUUUGAAUAAUCAGUAUAUAUUUCAUAUUAGUACAGUAGAGUCUCAUUUAUCCAACAUAAACUGGCCAGAAGAACGUUGGAUAAGCAGAUAUGUUGGAUAAUAAGGAGGGAUUAAGGAAAAGUCUAUUAAACAUCAAAUUAGGUUAUGAUUUUACAAAUUAAGCACCAAAACAUCAUGUUAUACAACAAAUUUGACAGAAAAAGUAAUUAAAUAUGAAAUAAUGCUAUGUAGUAAUAACUGUAUUUAUGAAUUUAGCACCAAAAUAUCACGAUUUAUUGAAAACAUCGACUACAAAAAUGCGUUGGAUAAUCCAGAACGUUGGAUAAGCGAGUGUUGGAUAAGUGAGACUCUACUGUAUAUAUUUUGCAUCAUGAAGGCAGAUUGAAGCUCUUUACUUAAAAACAAACAAGUCUCUUGAGUAUAAAAAGCUUACAGAAAUAUCGUAUUGAUUUCAGAAACCAAAAUGAAUUUUGACUACAAAUAUUUAGGUCACAUAGUGACAUAAUAAUUUAAAGGAAACUGGUUUGCUGAAUGUGAGCUGUAAUUUGAGCUGUAACUUUACAUAGUCUCUUUGUAAACAAACAUUGGAUGUGUUGUGUUGCUCACAUUUCUGUUCCUAACUAUUCUUGGACACGCACCUCUUUACCAAAAUAGACACUGUUACUAACGGAAAAGUUCUAAUUAUGUGAGAAACUUUUAGGUCCACCAAUGGGCUUAUACUUUCAUUUUUGAGUACAGAUUGGGAAAAUGAACCGUUCAAUUUCUUUCAUAAAGCAUAAACAACUGUCUAUGAAAAUUAACUUGCAUUCUUUAGUAGCCAGCACAUAUAACAAAUGUCAUACAGACAGCUAAAGUUUAUAAUGAACGCAUGUAAGACAAGAGGUCUUUGCGCUACUUUGGCACUUUGCUAAGAAUAAAUAUGGUUCACAGUUCAUAAAUUCUGCGUACUUUUGUAUUUUUAGAAGUACUCAGACAUGACAGUAAGAAAAAAAAAAUUUUAAGCAUUAUGUCAGUCAAGUAUGCUAAGGUGAAUACACAGGGAUUUCAGCUUACAAAGGAAGAAAGUAAAAACAUGCAAAAGAAACCAAUCAUAUGCUAUACUUUCAAAGAUCAUAUCACCCAUUGCAUCAUAUCGUUAUUUAAAUCACAAUUUUGUUGUAUGAAUCAGUCACUUCAUCUUAAGUUAUGUCCUUAGAAGUCUUAAGGUAAUCUUUAUUGCUCCCAGUUGUCCAACUUGCCAGAUGCUUAUUAAUGUUUGUGAACAAAUUAACUGAAUUUGUUUCCAAAAACUGAUGUGAUAUCUUCCUAGCUUUCUACUUCCAGGGAAAGAAUCAGUAUCUGUAUUAGCUUUUUGGGUACAUAUUAAUGCAUAAAGCCUGUACCAAUAUAUGGGGCAACUGUGUAGAACCAGAAGUAGGAGAAACCAGGGCAAUUUUUAAAAAUAAAGUCUAGAGUUCCUGUGCUGAUUUUAUAAAUGAAGAUUGCACAAACCUGCUUAAGCAAAAGGGGGGAAAGGCAGUAUGCUAGUUGGUUACACUCAUCUUGUAAUGAUUUCAUAUUCAGUGCCACUGCUUGGCUCAUAUACCUUUUCAUUAAAGCACUAGAAACUUUUAUUCUUCACUCAGAAUGGUUGUCAUACUACCAAAAAGCCCCUGUGCUAUAUGGAAACCAAACUGCCACCCUCACUAGAACCUGUCCUUUCCAAAUGUGAUUAAUAAACCUUUCAUAUUCUGUUUAGGGUUUCUUCUAUUUUCCUCUUGUCUUUUAGGAAACAUAAGCAACCAACUGUAUCAGGCAUGAAAGGGGCAACCUCUUGGGAGUCUGCGAAAGAAAGAAAGAAAGAAAGAAAGAAAGAAAGAAAGAAAGAAAGAAAGAAAGAAAGAAAGAAAGAAAGAAAGGAGGGAGGGAGGGAGGGAGGGAGGAAGGAAGGAAGGAAGGAAGGAAGGAAGGAAGGAAGGAAGGAAGGAAGGAAGGAAGGAAGGAAGGAAGGAAAGAAAGAAAGAAAGAAAGAAAGAAAGAAAGAAAGAAAGAAAGAAAGAAAGAAAGAAAGAAAGAAAGAAAGAAAGAAAGAAGAGAAAGUUUGCUUCAAGGCUCAAUUGUUUGUCAAAUCUGGUUAAAGUCAAGUAUUAAGAUCCACCAUUUUCUGAACCAUGCAAGAAACAAAGGAAAAGAAAUCGGGUGGGAGUGCUGCUUUCUAACUCUCUGUUGACACAAUUGCAAAAUCUCAUCCAUAAGGCCACAUAAUAUUUUUUUCUGGCCAAAUGUGGAGAGCAUUCCUAUAAACCAUUCUGCUGAUAUGGUGAAGACAGCUAUUGUGUAGCUUAUACUAAAAGUUCUUUACUGAAUUAGCCGACAAAAUACAUCACCUUUGAAAUCUGGGAGUCAUGGUAAUGUCUACCUGUCAAGCUACCCACUUUGUCUGCCCAUCAACCAGAGACAGAAUUGUGCUGCCUAAAAUGUAAUGAUGACUGGGAAUGUGAAGAGUUGUCCAAAGUGAAUCUUAUGCUUGGGAAACUUGUUCACUUCCACAGCUAACUCUGUCUUCUUGUAAGGGGAUGGUGGGGGAAAAAGUUGAAAAUAAAGUAGUUAUGAUAGGAUAUUCUUAAAUGUAGCAAUUAAAAAGUUUUAAAAAUAAGCUGUCUCAGAAAAUGUAUGGCACCACACACCUAAAUGCAUAUAGAACUGAAAUACUCAUAGUUAUAAUGCACAUUUUCUGCCUGAAAGCAGUUUUUCCUUGAACAAUUGUAGCAUUUCUUAGAUGUUUCCCUUCUCAUUAGAAUCAUAGAAUCAUAGAAUCUUAGAGUUGGAAGAGACUUCGCGGGCCAUCCAGUCCAACCCCCUGCAAGAAGCAGGAAAAUCUCAUUCAAAGGACCCCCGACAGGUGGCCAUCCAGCCUCUGCUUAAAAGCCUCCAAAGAAGGAUGUAUUACAUAAUACAAGUAAGGACCUCAUCACAUGGAGGUCAAUAAGCCAGAAGACAGAGCAGGAAACCAUGGGACAGCAUAAAGCUUUGUCCUGUUAUAGUCAGUGGUUGUGGGAUCCCAUCUCAUGAUGUUUUCAUGCUGUCCCCGGCUUCCUCCCAUGUUCUCCCCAGCUUCUUCUAUGAGGAGUGGGAUGUACACCCUCAGGGCUCUGUGUCUUUGCAUUGCCAGUAUGAAGUCCAACAAAGCCUCAAUAGAAGUAGCCCUGCAUCAUUGGGCUCUGGCAGACUCUGUGCCAGCAGUAUGCAGGCAGUGUGCCAGCAGCGCAGACACUGAGAAAUCCAUCUAUGUGAUGAUGUUGUAAGAUGUUUUCCAGCUACCUUCUAACUUCUCUGUCUAUUAGAUUCUGAUUAUACAUGGGUAAAAAUUAUACUUGUCUACAGACCUAUCACUAGCAACAAGAUUUAACAAGAUUAAAAUAUUUCUGCGAUCUUAAAAGCAAAUACAUGUUUCCACAGAGUGAACCUUAUCCUUGUUUUCUAAGCUUUGUUUCAAGAUUUAAAUCUCCCUUCCAAAAACGUAUAACUCAUUUCUUAUUCUAAAAUCACACAAUUUCUUGAUCUAUAAGACAGUUUGUUAUUUAUUAAGAUGAUGAUGUUGUUUUAAAAAGAAAAAACAAAUAUAGAAUCUUGUUGUUUCCAGGUUUACAUAUUACAAAAGGCAGAUAUCUUCAUGUUGACCAUGUAGAACAAUGACGUGUUUAUUUAUUGUCCAGCAUUAGUAUAUCUUUAUCUAUUAUUUUCAAUUUAGUAGCUUUUAUGUUACACCAGUAAUGUAUUUGUGGGUAAUACUAUAUCUUACCAUAGUUCAAGUAGGAAAUAAUAUUUUCUGCAUUACAUUUAACUUUAAGCUUUUUAAAUUCAUAUGUCUUUUAUCUAUAGCCAGGGUUAGUGAAUAUGUCAAUGAGUACUGGUCUGCUUCCAGAUUAAAUACAAAGUGCUGGUUAUUACCUUUAAAGCCCUAAAUGGUUCCGGUCUGGCAAUUUCACUAAUUGCAUCUCCUCUAUAAAUCAACUUGGGCUCUACAGUCAGCACAGGAGGUCCUACUCUUGGUCCCACCCCCAUCUCAAGCAUGUCUGGUGGGAAUGAGAGAGAGGGCCUUUCCUGUGAUCGUUCCCCACCUCUGGAACUCUCUCUUUAAAGAAAUAAAGCUGCCCCCUCCCUUCUCUCCUAAAAAAAAUUUUGAAAAAUUAUUUUUGCUACUAGACCUCUGACUGAAAAUUACUAUUAUAUUUGGGCUUGGUCAGAUCAUGUUAGCCCAGUUAACAUCACUGGGCACAUAAUCAACUCACAUAUCUUAGUGAACUUUUGCUAGCUUCUAGAAAUUACUGCAGAUGUUUUAUGUUUAGUUUUUAUGCUAGAUAUAAUAUUUGAUAGGUUGCAUUUUAUUUAAUUUAUAGAUGUCAUGUUACAAAUUGUUUUCAUAUGUGGAGUUACUUUGGACUAUUAUGUUUGUAUUUGCUGUUGUACUGAGGCACUGAAUGUUUGCCAUUUUUGUUUGUUGGAAUCCACCCUGAUAAAUAAAGUUAAUAAAUAAAGUUUUUUUUAUUAUUAUUA